UACGUAGGGUGCAAGCGUUAAUCGGAAUUACUGGGCGUAAAGCGUGCGCAGGCGGUUUUGUAAGUCUGUCGUGAAAUCCCCGGGCUCAACCUGGGAAUUGCGAUGGAGACUGCAAGGCUAGAAUCUGGCAGAGGGGGUAGAAUUCCACGUGUAGCAGUGAGAUGCGUAGAGAUGUGGAGGAACACCCGAUGGCGAAGGCAGCCCCCUGGGUCAAGAUUGACGCUCAUGCACGAAAGCGUGGGGAGCAAACAGG
rnacentral:rRNA from 1 species